UACAGAGGUCUCGAGCGUUGUUCGGAUUCAUUGGGCGUAAAGGGUGCGUAGGCGGCGUGGUAAGUCUGAUGUGAAAUCCCGGGGCUCAACCCCGGAACUGCAUUGGAUACUGCCAUGCUAGAGUACUGGAGAGGAGAUUGGAAUUUACGGUGUAGCAGUGAAAUGCGUAGAUAUCGUAAGGAAGACCAGUGGCGAAGGCGAAUCUCUGGACAGUUACUGACGCUGAGGCACGAAGGCCAGGGGAGCAAACGGG
rnacentral:rRNA from 1 species